rnacentral:rRNA from 1 species
UACAGAGGGUGCGAGCGUUAAUCGGAAUUACUGGGCGUAAAGGGCGCGUAGGCGGUUAAUUAAGUUGGACGUGAAAUCCCUGGGCUUAACCUAGGAACUGCGUUCAAGACUGGUUGACUGGAGUGCAGUAGAGGGUAGUGGAAUUUCCGGUGUAGCGGUGAAAUGCGUAGAUAUCGGAAGGAACACCAGUGGCGAAGGCGGCUACCUGGACUGACACUGACGCUGAGGCGCGAAAGCGUGGGGAGCAAACAGG